UACGUAGGUGGCAAGCGUUGUCCGGAUUUACUGGGCGUAAAGGGCGUGCAGGCGGUUUGUUAAGUGCAGGGUGAAAGCUCCCGGCUCAACUGGGAGAGGUCCUUGCAUACUGGCAGACUUGAGGGAGGCAGAGGAAAGUGGAAUUCCCGGUGUAGUGGUGAUAUGCGUAGAUAUCGGGAGGAACACCUGUGGCGAAGGCGGCUUUCUGGGCCUUACCUGACGCUGAGACGCGAAAGCGUGGGGAGCGAACGGG
rnacentral:rRNA from 1 species